UAUAAAUUACACCAUUUGAAAGACAAUAGGUCACACUUGCAUCAAAACUUUCCCAAAGCCUAAAUUAUUGUUCCUAAUUAGCAUGGCUUUGCUUAAGAUGGGUUUUGUUUUCACUGUUCUUCUCAUAGCAGCUAUGAGCUAGUAUCUAUCUUACAUUAAAUCUAGAUUAUGAUUCUAUCAUAUUACAUAUUUAAUAUGGCAUGGUUCUCUGAGACGCAUCUUGUGGUUGCAAGAAAUGUUGCUCGUGAUCUCUCAGGAGUUGAGAGAAGACUGCUCUCACAACUUAAUACAUGUUUUCGAUCUUGUGAAAUAAACUACGACUGCAAUGAUUGUUGGACGUGUUGUACUUGUGCAGGAUACCCCGGAUACAAGAUAUGUAGAUUUUAAAAGUACAUUAUAUUGGUGUCCAAUUGCACUUUACUUUGUUUCAAAUCCCUAUUAUGCAUUUGUGUUCCUUGUUUUUUCUUUCUACUUUGUAAGAAAAUAAAGAAAGUCAAAAUAAUGGCUUUCGGUCUGCUGUUUCUGGUUUUCUCAUUGUUCUUUUUAUGAAAAUUUACAAAGUCUAAGAUAUUGACUUUCAAUUCAUGAAUAAAAAGGGAUUUGAAUA